AGGGUUUGAUUAUGGCUCAGGACGAACGCUGGCGGUGCGCCUCAUGCAUGCAAGUCGAGCGAAGCUUUUCAGUAGUUUACUACAGAAAAUGACUAAGCGGCGAACGGGUGAGUAACGCGUGAGCAACCUACCUUAGUUACUGGGAUAGCCCGAGGAAACUCGGAUUAAUACCGGAUACUCUUAUUUAUUCACAUGAAUUUAUAAGGAAAGGUCAGCCGAACUAAGAUGGGCUCGCGUUCUAUCAGCUAGUUGGUAGGGUAAUGGCCUACCAAGGCAACGACGGAUAGCUGGUCUGAGAGGACGAUCAGCCACACUGGGACUGAGACACGGCCCAGACUCCUACGGGAGGCUGCAGCAGGGAAUAUUGUGCAAUGAACGAAAGUUUGACACAGCGACACCGCGUGUGGGAUGACGGAUCUAGGUUUGUAAACCACUUUCAGGAGGGAAGAAAAUGACGGUACCUCCACAAGAAGCCCCGGCCAACUACGUGCCAGCAGCCGCGGUAAUAC
rnacentral:rRNA from 1 species